CUUUGGGCUCGGCGAGGUCGGUUGGGAACCUGGCUAAUGAGUAAAAAACCGCUUGGAAAAAACUCAGCGAUGAUGAAGAAAUGUAGAAAGAAUCAGGUCACUCCUGACUUUCUACAAGAUCCUGGGAGCCGUCAGACUUUCCAAGAUCCAUCCUGCACGAGCAAACACUCUGCAGAUUUUGGCUUUUUCCCUGACAACUGCAAUUCAAGAAGCUGGCAGUGGUUCAAAGAGUGGCCUUUUAUAGCAGCCACGGGAGGAGAGCAGGGAUUCUGCAGAGCCUGGACUUGCUGCACCUGACCAAAGGCCCACGGGGACAAUGUGGGAGCAGCUGAGAGUUGUCAGAGGGAAUCACACACGCCUGAUUUCUGGGCAUGAUUGCUGCUGGCAGAGUCCAAGGUACGAGCUAAAAGAGCAAACAGAAGGAAAUAUUGGCCCAACACACCUGGCAUCUUUCACGCGUUCGUUCGCCUGGUAAUAUCCAGCUAUCACGUAGCUGUUCUCCUUGCACCAGGAAUCAAUCUGGAAAAGCAACGGGAACAAUAAAUCCUAGGGGGAAAACCCUCCAGGAUCAAGGAGAAAAAAGAAAUUAAACAAGCCAGGAUGAAGGAAAUCUCGUGGCUGUCCUGUAAAUAAAGCAGUGUUGCUCCAUCUCUGCCACGGGGCUCUUGAAAUAAAUCCAUAUUUCUGUCUG